CACUGUUCUCUUGACCCAGAAACCUUACAAAAUCAUGCAAAUCAAGGCGUUUAAAUUGUCCUGUUCCCUUUACAAAGACCUGUGAGGCUGUCCACACCAUCAAGGGUAUACAUAUCUGGAAAGUGUCUGAAAGAUGUCACUUUAAAUGAGCCAUGGGUGCCAUUGGGCUGUAUAACAUGGAGUCAGUAGGUGUGCCCUGGCCAAGCAGGGGACACAGGGUCAGUGGCCAAAAUAAGAGUGUUGAAUUCUUGCUCCACGUGCUUAAAAAUGCAGAGAAUAAUGCUGAAUAUCGGGAUUUGGACGUAGUUUCUCUGUCAUUGAACAAAGUGCGUAAGCUGUGCAGAUGACCUUACAGAGCUCAUGGCCACAUUAACCUGUGCACAACUCCCCACGCAGUGAUGAU